GAUGAACGCUGGCGGCGUGCCUAAUACAUGCAAGUCGAGCGAACGGACGAGAAGCUUGCUUCUCUGAUGUUAGCGGCGGACGGGUGAGUAACACAUGGAUAACCUACCUAUAAGACUGGGAUAAAUUCGGGAAACCGGAGCUAAUACCGGAUAAUAUUUUGAACCGCAUGGUUCAAAAGUGAAAGACGGUCUUGCUGUCACUUAUAGAUGGAUCCGCGCUGCAUUAGCUAUUUGGUAAGGUAACGGCUUACCAAGGCAACGAUGCAUAGCCGACCUGAGAGGGUGAUCGGCCACACUGGAACUGAGACACGGUCCAGACUCCUACGGGAGGCAGCAGUAGGGAAUCUUCCGCAAUGGGCGAAAGCCUGACGGAGCAACGCCGCGUGAGUGAUGAAGGUCUUCGGAUCGUAAAACUCUGUUAUUAGGGAAGAACAUAUGUGUAAGUAACUGUGCACAUCUUGACGGUACCUAAUCAGAAAGCCACGGCUAACUACGUG
rnacentral:rRNA from 1 species